rnacentral:rRNA from 1 species
GUUGUUCCGUGGUUAAGACGGACCGCAUACAAGUCUGUCGGAAUACAGCGUCAUAGUGGUGAGAACCCCGUAACUGAUGCGGAUGCCCGGUGCUUUCUGAUACACUUUCGAAGAGUCGAGUUGUUUGGGAACGCAGCUCAAACUGGGUGGUAAAUUCCAUCUAAAGCUAAAUAUGGGCGAGAGACCGAUAGCGAACAAGUACCGUGAGGGAAAGAUGAAAAGCACUUUGGAAAGAGAGUUAACAGUACGUGAAAUUGUUGGAAGGGAAACGCAUGAGGUCAGACUUGUUAUUUGGAAUUCAGCUGCAAGGUGUACUUUUCAAUUUGCAGGCCAGCAUCAGUUUUCGGGGGUGGAAAAGGGUAGAGAGAACGUAGCUGUUUCGGCACUGUUACAGCUCUCUGCUGGAU